rnacentral:rRNA from 1 species
ACGGGUGAGUAAUACAUAAGUAACCUGGCAUCUACAGGGGGAUAACUGAUGGAAACGUCAGCUAAGACCGCAUAGGUGUAGAGAUCGCAUGAACUCUAUAUGAAAAGUGCUACGGGACUGGUAGAUGAUGGACUUAUGGCGCAUUAGCUUGUUGGUAGGGUAACGGCCUACCAAGGCGACGAUGCGUAGCCGACCUGAGAGGGUGACCGGCCACACUGGGACUGAGACACGGCCCAGACUCCUACGGGAGGCAGCAGUAGGGAAUUUUCGGCAAUGGGGGAAACCCUGACCGAGCAACGCCGCGUGAAGGAAGAAGUAAUUCGUUAUGUAAACUUCUGUCAUAGAGGAAGAACGGUGGAUAUAGGGAAUGAUAUCCAAGUGACGGUACUCUAUAAGAAAGCCACGGCUAACUACGUGCCAGCAGCCGCGGUAAUACGUAGGUGGCGAGCGUUAUCCGGAAUUAUUGGGCGUAAAGAGGGAGCAGGCGGCACUAAGGGUCU